rnacentral:rRNA from 1 species
UAGUCAUGAGUUUGAUCCUGGCUCAGGAUUAGAUACCCUGGUAGUCAUGAGUUUGAUCCUGGCUCAACAAUAGCAUACCCUGGGCUUAAGGUUAUUGGGCCUGGGAAACUGGGUCUAAUACCGGAUAUUCAGUUCCUGCCGCAUGGUGGGGGUUGGAAAGUUUUUCGGUGCAGGAUGAGCCCGCGGCCUAUCAGCUUGUUGGUGGGGUAAUGGCCUACCAAGGCGACGACGGGUAGCCGGCCUGAGAGGGUGAUCGGCCACACUGGGACUGAGACACGGCCCAGACUCCUACGGGAGGCAGCAGUGGGGAAUAUUGCACAAUGGGCGAAAGCCUGAUGCAGCGACGCCGCGUGGGGGAUGACGGUCUUCGGAUUGUAAACCCCUUUCAGUAGGGACGAAGCGCAAGUGACGGUACCUGCAGAAGAAGCACCGGCCAACUACGUGCCAGCAGCCGCGGUAAUACGUAGGGUGCGAGCGUUGUCCGGAAUUACUGGGCGUAAAGAGCUCGUAGGCGGUUUGUCGCGUCGUCCGUGAAAACUCGGAGCUUAACUCCGAGCUUGCGGGCGAUACGGGCAGACUUGAGUACUACAGGGGAGACUGCAAGUCCUGGUGAAUCGGUUCAAUGCGCAGAUUUCAAUACCCUGGUAGUCCUGAGUUUGAUCCUGGCUCAGGAUUAGAUACCCUGGUAGUCCUGAGUUUGAUCCGGC